UACCCAUGCAGUCGAGCGAUUUGUAGCAAUACAAAGAGCGGCGGAAGGGUGAGUAACACGUAGAAAUCUACCUCGACGGAGGGAACAACCCCGCGAAAGUGGGGCUAAUACCCAAAAGCAUCCGCAAGGAUGAGAGUCGAAAGGCCUGUUGAGAGGAGUCUGCGGCCCAUCAGCUAGUUGGUGAGGUUAAAGCUUACCAAGGCUACGACGGGUAGGGGGUCUGAGAGGACGUCCCCCCACACUGGAACUGAAACACGGUCCAGACGCCUACGGGUGGCAGCAGGGAGGAAUAUUGGACAAUGGGGGAAACCCCGAUCCAGCAACGCCGCGUGAGGGAUGAAGGCCUUCGGGUCGUAAACCUCUUUUAAGGGAGACGAGAAAGGACGGUAUCCCUGGAAUAAGUCACGGCUAACUACGUGCCAGCAGCCGCGGUAAUACGUAGGUGACGAGCGUUAUCCGGAUUUACUGGGCGUAAAGCGCUUGUAGGUGGCUUUGUAAGUUGGGCGUGAAAACUCUGGGCUUAACCCAGAGACGCCGUCCAAUACUGCGAGGCUAGAGGAUGUCAGAGGAAGGUGGAAUUCCUGGUGUAGUGGUGAAAUGCGUAGAUAUCAGGAGGAACACCCGUGGCGAAGGCGGCCUUCUGGGGCAUUCCUGACACUGAGAAGCGAAAGCUAGGGGAGCAAACAGGAUUAGAAACCCUGGUAGUCCUAGCUGUAAACGAUGGAUGCUAGGUGUUGGCGGAUUUAACCCUGCCAGUGCCGAAGCUAACGCGUUAAGCAUCCCGCCUGGGAAGUACGAUCGCAAGAUUAAAACUCAAAGGAAUUGACGGGGACCCGCACAAGCAGCGGAGCGUGUGGUUUAAUUCGAUGCUACACGAAGAACCUUACCCAGAUUUGACAUAUAGGUGGUAGUGAACCGAAAGGGGAACGACCCGCAAGGAGCCUAUACAGGUGUUGCAUGGCUGUCGUCAGCUCGUGUCGUGAGAUGUUGGUUUAAGUACCCUAACGAGCGCAACCCUUACUGCCAGUUACAGUGUCUGGCGGGACUGCCGGCCACAAGCCGGAGAAGGCGAGGAUGACGUCAAGUCAGCAUGGCCUUUUUAUAUUCUGGGGCUU
rnacentral:rRNA from 1 species